rnacentral:rRNA from 1 species
AUGGAGGACGACCGUCUCCACGGUGAGGCCGGGGCCGAAGCCGAAGAGAACGCCCCAGUCCAUUCCCUCGCCGGUUGUGGUGUGGCCAUCCUCGGCGGAGCGUUUGCGCAUUUCGUCCAUGAUGAAGAGCACGCAUGCGCUCGACAUGUUGCCAUAUUCGGAGAGGACAUGCCUGGUGGCGCGCAUCCGUUCCUUGUUUAG